rnacentral:sRNA from 1 species
AUGCCUCAGAGGUCGUGUUGGAUGAGAACCUGCGUUCAAGUUCGAGCCGAGCGAAGCGAGACGACAACGCGCAGCGUUGCCCGUAGGGCGAAGGCCAAAGGCCGAGUCAAUCCUGCACGACCCACCA